rnacentral:rRNA from 1 species
GACGAACGCUGGCGGCGUGCUUAACACAUGCAAGUCGAACGGAAAGGCCCUGCUUUUGUGGGGUGCUCGAGGGGCGAACGGGUGAGUAACACGUGAGUAACCUGCCCUUGACUUUGGGAUAACUUCAGGAAACUGGGGCUAAUACCGGAUAGGAGCUCCUGCUGCAUGGUGGGGGUUGGAAAGUUUCGGCGGUUGGGGAUGGACUCGCGGCUUAUCAGCUGGUUGGUGGGGUAGUGGCUUACCAAGGCUUUGACGGGUAGCCGGCCUGAGAGGGUGACCGGCCACAUUGGGACUGAGAUACGGCCCAGACUCCUACGGGAGGCAGCAGUGGGGAAUAUUGCACAAUGGGCGGAAGCCUGAUGCAGCAACGCCGCGUGCGGGAUGACGGCCUUCGGGUUGUAAACCGCUUUCGCCUGUGACGAAGCGUGAGUGACGGUAAUGGGUAAAGAAGCACCGGCUAACUACGUG